GUCACAGUGAGACCCUGUCUCAAAUAAAUAAAUAAAAAUUUUAAGAGAAAAAUAAAAAAAUUUAAAAAUUGAGCCAGGUACGGUGGCUCACCUGUAAUCCCAGCACUUUGGGAGGCCGAGGUAGGUGGAUCAUCUGAGAUCAGGAAUUUGAGACCAGGCUGGCCAACAAGGAGAAACCCCGACUCUACUAAAAAUACAAAAAUUAGCUGGACAUUGUGGCAGGCGCCUGUAAUCCCAGCUACUCAGGAGGCUGAGGCAGCAGAAUCGCUUGAACCCGGGAGGCGGAGAUUGCAGUGAGCAGAGAUGGCGCCAUUGCACUGCAGGCUGGGCGACAGAGCGAGACUCCAUCUCAAAACAAACAAACGCAAAAGAAGGGGAUUGGGACUUGGGGUCCUCUAUGUGAGGGAGGAGUCUUGGCUCUUGCCUUCCAUUGCUUUCCCUCCUCACAGCACGCUGGCAGCGAAGGGGAACUCUACCCUCCAGAAUCUCAGCCACCAGUUUCAGGCUCUGCACCCCCUGAGGACCUGGAGGAUGCUGGACCCCCAACACUGGACCCCUCUGGGACCUCAAUCACUGAAGAAAUCCUGGAACUGCUGAAUCAGCGAGGCCUUCGAGAUCCAGGGCCGUCCACCCAUGACAUUCCCAAGUUCCCCGGAGACUCCCAGGUGCCUGGCGACAGCGAAACCCUCACAUUCCAAGCCCUGCCCAGCCGGGACUCUU
rnacentral:lncRNA from 1 species